UUUUUUGGCCGCUCUCCCCCCCGGGUCGUGGCCCCCGGCCCGAUCCUGCCCCAUCCUGCUCCUGACCUUCAGCCUCCUCCUCCUCGCCGUCCUCACCUGCCUCAGCCUCUCCAGAGCGACGGCGGCGCUCGGGGAGCUGCGGGAAUUCCGGACACGGAACGAGCACAACACGGGCUGGAAAAACAUCUCCGAGCUCCAGCACGGCCUGGCGCGGCAGUUCCAGACUCUCCAGGGGCGGAUCCUGAACGGUAACGACCC